UCAAACUUGGUCAUUUAGAGGAAGUAAAAGUCGUAACAAGGUUUCCGUAGGUGAACCUGCGGAAGGAUCAUUAUUGAAUACAACUUGGUUGGGUUGCUGCUGGCUUUUUGAAGCAUGUGCACACCCACACCAAUUUUCAACCACCUGUGCACAUUGUGUAGAUCUUGGAUACUUGAGGAUAGAAAUUUAUCUAUUCUUGUAUUCAAGUCUGCAUUAAUAAUAUUACUCCAUAUGAAUGCAUUAGAAUGUUUUUUUAAGGUGUUUUUUAUGCCUUUGAAAAUUAUAAACAACUUUCAACAACGGAUCUCUUGGCUCUCGCAUCGAUGAAGAACGCAGC
rnacentral:misc_RNA from 1 species